AGAGCGAACGCUGGCGGCGUGCUUAACACAUGCAAGUCGAACGCGCAGCAUUCUGUAGCAAUACAGGGUGUGGGCGCGUGGCGAACGGGUGCGUAACACGUGGAUAACCUUCCUUCAGGUGGGAAUAACCCAGUGAAAAUUGGGCUAAUACCGCAUAACAAAACGAUGAGACAUCUUGUUGUUUUCAAAGGCGCAAGUCGCCAGAAGAGGGAUCCGCGGCCGAUUAGCUUGUUGGCGAGGUAAUGGCUCACCAAGGCAAUGAUCGGUA
rnacentral:rRNA from 1 species